rnacentral:sRNA from 1 species
AUUCUUUUCUCGAUGGUCAUCAGCUCCACCCAAGAUGCCCAGCACUUCGCCCUUCGCCUUACUCACCACUCGCCAGCCAUUCCUCUUUCAUCUUCCUCACCCUCCAUACUGAUUUUUUCAUCUCCCAGUCCUGCCUUAUUACGCAUAUGGAACAGUGUGUAAUACCCGGGACAUCCUCCCUGCUUUUCAUGCGAACAUGCAGCUCGCUACGUUUUAUACUUUCCGGUUUCCCGGUCUUUUAGCGUCAUUUUUGGCUGCUCAUCACUCAAUCUCUCAUUCGUUUACCUAAAGGCCAGACGGACAAUAAAACCAUGCAGAAUGCACAGUUUGAUGCAUGGUGAUGAUGGAUCGUGGUUUUCUGAGAUGCGUUUUUUCCUGAUCUGAGAUGCGCUGCUCGGGUCUAGAAAAAUGAAUGAUUCGGGGAUGAUGAAAUGCAUACGAGCUUCCUCUUUAC